rnacentral:misc_RNA from 1 species
UAUUAAUUAUUAAAUAUAUUAAAAAUAUUAAUAUUAUCUCACAGAAAAAAUAGAUUAUCUUUAUGAAAAUAGUACUUUUUCUCUUAUAAAAAAAUAAACGCUGUCUAUAAUAUAGAGAUUAAAUCUUAAGAGAUAUUACAUAUGUAUCAAAUACAUCUAAUAAUUUUUCUAAGAAGAAAAGCAGGAGCUCUUGGAAAUCAAAUUAAAAGCUAGUGAGAAACUUGUACCCUUCUCAUAGAAAGAGGGGAAAAGGAAGAAAUCCAAUUGAUUUGCUUUCGCUUGGCCUUGGAUGAUGAUGAUCUUGAUCCUUUCUUGCCAAAUUUCCCGUCGUUUCUGAGAAUACAAACAUCCCCUUCACACACAUACCUCUUGGAUGGAGCUGACGAUGGACUGGAUUCUGCAAAGCAGCCCCAGAAAUUACGGAGCCACGCCAUCCCAAUUAUCCCAACUAUUCUCUCGUGAUUAAACUUUUUGCCAAAU